rnacentral:misc_RNA from 1 species
CUCAUUUUUACCAUUUAUCUUUGUAAGAUGUCAAAUCCGUAAAUUCUUUGAGAACUUUCCUCCAUGUUCUUUUAGGACUACCCUUUUACCUUUUACUCAUUUUCCUAUUAACUUAUUGUACUUCUAUACUGAGAUAUUUGAUUCUCAAAGUUGUACAACACCAAACCAUUGCCAGCCAUGCCAAAAUUAAUCACGCUCCUUCAAAUCCACUACCAAACAAAUCACACAGAUGAGCUAGCUACAACAAUAAAUUUUAGUCACUAAUCAUUGUAGUAUUA